UCGUGUGCUCUGGGGUCGGUGUAAGUCCGAACCGGCGGUGACAGUCCGCGACCCGUCCGCAUCCUGCGGUCGGCUGACCAGGUGAAACUCCUGGACCGACGGUGAAAGUCCGGAUGGGAAGUGCACACGG
rnacentral:ncRNA from 2 species